AUGCAUAAUGCAUCACAUGUUGUUUAUUAUUUAGUUACCAAUGCCAACUGUAAAAGCGUCAUGUUUUGCCUCAGAAAUUACGCACCUGUGUGCAGCGUUGGUGGCAUAACGUUUCCUAAUCUAUGUUUUCUAGAAUGUGCCGGGGCGACCUACCUCCAUGAUGGUGAAUGCACUGGCUUACGUAAGCGAUCUGCUGUAGGCCAGCAGCCUACUAUUGAACCUAGAAUACGACAACGAUUGCAAUAGGAAAAGCGCAAAUGUUGAGUUAGCACACACCGGGACAUGCGAUGAACUGUCAACAAGGCACCUGUCAAAAACUAAGAAGCACUGUAACAUUUUUAUUCUGCAGAAUAGUGAUACGUUUAUUGUCGUCUCUGUUCAUCUGUACGCUGUUAAAUGAUUUACAG